rnacentral:rRNA from 1 species
CCCCAUACAAGCCUCCUCCGCAUGGUGGAGGUUGGAAAGCUCCGGCGGUGCAGGAUGAGCCCGCGGCCUAUCAGCUUGUUGGUGAGGUAAUGGCUCACCAAGGCGACGACGGGUAGCCGGCCUGAGAGGGCGACCGGCCACACUGGGACUGAGACACGGCCCAGACUCCUACGGGAGGCAGCAGUGGGGAAUAUUGCACAAUGGGCGAAAGCCUGAUGCAGCGACGCCGCGUGAGGGAUGAAGGCCUUCGGGUUGUAAACCUCUUUCAGCAGGGAAGAAGCGAAAGUGACGGUACCUGCAGAAGAAGCGCCGGCUAACUACGUGCCAGCAGCCGCGGUAAUACGUAGGGCGCAAGCGUUGUCCGGAAUUAUUGGGCGUAAAGAGCUCGUAGGCGGCUUGUCGCGUCGGUUGUGAAAGCCCGGGGCUUAACCCCGGGUCUGCAGUCGAUACGGGCAGGCUAGAGUUCGGUAGGGGAGAUCGGAAUUCCUGGUGUANCGGUGAAAUGCGCAGAUAUCAGGAGGAACACCGGUGGCGAAGGCGGAUCUCUGGGCCGAUACUGACGCUGAGGAGCGAAAGCCUGGGGAGCGAACAGGGAUUAGAUACCC